rnacentral:rRNA from 1 species
CGUUGUUCGGAAUCACUGGGCAUAAAGGGCGCGUAGGCGGCUUUUCAAGUCAGGGGUGAAAUCCGGCAGCUUAACUGUCGAAGUGCCCUUGAUACUGAUGAGCUCGAGGGAGGUAGGGGUAUGUGGAACUUCCGGUGGAGCGGUGAAAUGCGUUGAUAUCGGAAGGAACGCCGGUGGCGAAAGCGACGUACUGGACCUCUUCUGACGCUGAGGCGCGAAAGCUAGGGGAGCAAACGGG